AGAACGAACGCUGGCGGCAGGCUUAAACACAUGCAAGUCGAACGCCCUAGCAAUAGGGAGUGGCGCACGGGUGAGUAACGCGUGGGAAUGUACCAUUUAGUGGGGGAUAACUCUGGGAAACUAGAGCUAAAUACCGCAUACGCCCUUCGGGGGAAAGAUUUAUCGCUAAAUGAUCAGCCCGCGUGAGAUUAGGUAGUUGGUGGGGUAAUGGCCUACCAAGCCUACGAUCUCUAGCUGGUCUGAGAGGAUGAUCAGCCACACUGGAACUGAGACACGGUCCAGACUCCUACGGGGAGGCAGCAGUGGGGAAUAUUGGACAAUGGGCGAAAGCCUGAUCCAGCCAUGCCGCGUGAAUGAUGAAGGCUUUAGGGUUGUAAAGUUCUUUCGCCGAUGAAGAUAAUGACGGUAGUCGGAGAAGAAGCCCCGGAUACUUCGUGCCAGCAGCCG
rnacentral:rRNA from 1 species